CCUACGGGAGGCAGCAGUGGGGAAUAUUGCACAAUGGGGGAAACCCUGAUGCAGCGACGCCGCGUGAGUGAAGAAGUACCUCGGUAUGUAAAGCUCUAUCAGCAGGGAAGAUAAUGACAGUACCUGACUAAGAAGCCCCGGCUAACUACGUGCCAGCAGCCGCGGUAAU
rnacentral:rRNA from 1 species